GACGGACGCUGGCGGCGUGCCUAAUACAUGCAAGUCGAGCGGACUUUCAAGAAGCUUGCUUUUUGAAAGUUAGCGGCGGACGGGUGAGUAACACGUGGGCAACCUGCCUGCAAGACGGGGAUAACUCCGGGAAACCGGGGCUAAUACCGGAUAAUAUCUUCCUUCGCAUGAAGGAAGGUUGAAAGGCGGCGCAAGCUGCCGCUUGCAGAUGGGCCCGCGGCGCAUUAGCUAGUUGGUGAGGUAACGGCUCACCAAGGCGACGAUGCGUAGCCGACCUGAGAGGGUGAUCGGCCACACUGGGACUGAGACACGGCCCAGACUCCUACGGGAGGCAGCAGUAGGGAAUCUUCCGCAAUGGACGAAAGUCUGACGGAGCAACGCCGCGUGAGCGAAGAAGGUCUUCGGAUCGUAAAGCUCUGUUGUCAGGGAAGAACAAGUACCGUUCGAACAGGGCGGUACCUUGACGGUACCUGACCAGAAAGCCACGGCUAACUACGUG
rnacentral:rRNA from 1 species